ACUUCUCCAGUGUUCAUGUGCUCAUCUAUUUGUUGCAGCACAGUUUCUGCGUUACAUGUCGAUAAGAAGCCCUUGUAAAAGGACAAAUGUGCCUUCUCCUGAUCCAGCAGUGCUCAUUUUGAUCAGAGGAUUUACUUCUGCACCACUUCUCAUUGCAGGGAGAACAAAAUCACAAAAAUUGAGAUAAGAGGGGGGAUCAAAUUCUUACCUGCAUUUGCAUUAUCUUUUUCAAUAAAGAGAUUUAAGUAAGUCCUUUCA